rnacentral:lncRNA from 1 species
GCGAACGCAGGACGUAAGGCAACUUGGGGGAGGAAGCGCUCCCUCGCUUGGGCUCAGUUUUGGGGUCUCACUCCAUGGCUGCUUGGCCCCGCUGCUCUGGGUCGGGUGGCCCAGCACCUCAUGGGGGAGUGGGGAAGAGGUCAAGCUGGCAAAGUCCCCCCGAGGCCGAGCCCCAGUGACCCAGCUGCCUCCCCAGGCCCCACCUUCUGAGACCCCCAACAGGCUCGCUGGAGACUGCGCUUCUCACACACGGACUUUAGGGAAGGCCCAGGUGCGCACUGCGGCAGGAGUUGACAUGCAGCACACUUAAGGACAGGCAGAGAGAUGAAGGCAGGAUGCCGACCCUGGGCGCCGCAUGGAGCUGAGAGGAGCUGCAGUGCGGAGAAACGGGGACAGCCCAACGCCUGCAGGCCGGAGGGCAUCCGGGUUCCAGGGACCAGCAAGAGGAAGCAUUCGGUGACCCCUGCCACAACACUGUGCCGGGCACUGGGGACAUGGAAAGAGAAACCACUCGACAUCUAGGCUUGCGAAUCUACGUCCCUGAGCACUGUGGCCCAAGGCGCAUCCGUUUUCCUGCAGAUAACUCCAGUGCAGUUCUUCAGCUUCCUCUGCUCUGUCCCCCAACGUGGGCCUCCCCACUGGGUCCCCUGGCCACGCAAGGCCCUUGGAUGCAGCCCGCAGCGGCCCGCCUGUGUCCUGCCUCCGUGACCCCCAGGCCCCCUCCCCAGUGGGCAGGGGUUUCCUGCUCUCAGUGUCCAGAGCACUUGCUGGAUGCAAUCACUGUUCUUGGAAUGCGUCCUGUAAUUGGUCUUCCUGGGCACUUAAGUCUAAUGUCACCCACAUGAUCGCUUGAAUUGUAGAAAGCGCAGGCAUUUUAUUCACGCCCACGGAAGGAAGCAGAGGGACGAGACCUCGAGCCCAGCAAGCCUCGCCUGAGAUUCUGGACGUCGGUACCAGCAUGAGAAAUUCCCCGGGUUUGCAAAGCAGGCUGGCUGCCGGAAUCACCAGGGCUGGAG